CGUUGGCUGCGUGGGGCGCCGGCAGGGUCACCCGAACAGGGCUCCUGCGCUUGCGCUCCUGUGGGAGGUGCGAGCGGGUGGGCGUGUGCGAGGCGUGGUCGGAGGGGGGAGGGCCCGGCUAGCCGUCGCUCCUCCCCCUCUUGCCCCUCCUGGGCCGUGUGGGCCGGGCAGCCAUUUUGGGAAGAGCUUUGUUAUGGUUGUGGGCUCUCCACCUUUGCGGGAUCAGGAAGCUGGGGACGCGCCCUCAGACGCCGCGUAUGCUCCCUAUCUGUAGCCCCGCUACUGCCGGUGAUAGAUUCCUGUGGCCUUUAAAUGAUUGAAAAAUGAUGGAAAUGGAUCCAAAAUAAAAAGUGACUACUCUACUGAAGCAGUAGAAGAUUCUUCAUAGUACCCUCCAGCUCAGUUCAGUCUUCAGGAGAGGCAGAACAAGUGAAAUACAGCAAACUGAAGAGAGAAAAACCUCAGCGUUGGAACUGUUUUACUCCUUAACUACUCCUUAACUUCUUUCCUUCUGCUUGUUUUAAUUUUGCUGUGAAUUUAUAAAUAGUGAAGACCAAAGAAAUAGAAGAUACAUUUGGGAGCUUUAUAUAACAAAGAAAUUUGCCUUGAGAGCUGCUAUUCUUUAGAGGGAAACAUAUAUCAAGUUCUUGUCUGAUUAAAAACAAACAAGAUUUCUUAUGCCCUUAGAUUUUGAAUAUUAAAACAGAUAUAAAUAUCUGCAUACUUUUUAGCAGCUGUGUAGGAAUAAUGAGAUUUGUAAAUUAAGGACUUUGUCAUGUGGAUGUUUUGCCUUUAGAAUUGAUUGUUCAGAAGAUCUUUUAUAACUCUUUAAUGUUAUAUUUUUGACUAUUGCUUUGAUGGCAUUAUUUGCCCACACAUGAGUUAACCUGUCUUUCUAGCUAUGACCUUGUUAUGAACAGUGUUUGCACUCAAUGUGCAGAUGUCCAUGUAUUAUCUAUUUAAACAACAUCAUAGUGCCGUCACUCAAGGAAGUUGAAUGAGGUGAACGUAGACACAGCUCUUUCCCCUUCCCCCCAUUUUUUAAAUGUAACAAAUACUUUUUAUGUUCCCCUUCCCCCUUCCCCUUUCCCUUUCCCCUUUUUGGAAACGUGUCAGGAAUUAGAUAGUUAAAGAUGAGCAAUUGAGGGGACUGAGAGCGAUCCACACAGAGUCUGGCUUCCUUGUGCUUUAUCACAAGGCGUGCUGCUGGCCAGCCUAUUUAAGCACCCUUUUAACAAGACAACCUCGUGGGAAAUCCAGCUGACAGACUCAAGGAGUUUGGGAAACAGGACCACAGAGGUUACACUCUGGGGUAAAUAUUCUCCUAUAUCUAACUUUGGAAGAAGACUGUGUAUGUAUCUGUAUCAUGGAAAAUACAUACUGUUUUCUGGUGUAUUUAAUUUUGGAGAUCUUUAGUGGGAUGGUUUAGAGACACCAAUGGAUCUCUUAGGAAACCUGAUGCUAGUGGGUGUUGGAGGAAAUUAAUGUGAACUAAAUAGAAUAACUUUUUUUGUUGUUUAAUGUUUAUUUUUGAGAGAGAGAGCGUGAGUUGGGGAGGGGCACAGAGAGAGGGAGACACAGAAUCUGAAGCAGGCUCCAGGCUCUGAGCUGUCUGCACAGAGCCUGACACGGGGCUCGAACUCACAAGCUGUGAGGUCAUGACCUGAGCCGAAGUUGGACACUUAACCAACUGAGCCACCCAGGCACCCCAAGAAUGACUCUUUGAGAGAUUGCAUCUUCCUUCUCUAGGAAGGUCUUUUCUACUGCUUUUUCACAAUUUGCCUGAGUACCUGAAGCAGGUUAAUCUUUUCAUAAGAAUCAGUAGUUUUAAGUAGGUGUUUAUUCUUUUUGGUUUUUUCAAACCUUUCGCUAUUUGUUUUUAAAAUGUUUAUUUUUUGAGAGCAAGGAAUCCCAAGCUGGCUCCACACUGUCAGUGCAGAGCCCGAUGCAGGGCUCAAACUCAUAAACCGUGAGAUCAUGACCUGAGCCAAAACCAAGAAUCAGAUGCUUAACUGACUGAGCCACCCAGGCACCCCAGGUGUUUAUUCUUAAGGUUCUUCUCAUAAAACUCAAGAAUUCAUAACCUUCCAGGUUUAUGUCACCUUUUUCUGUUCAUGUGUUUUUCAUACUCAUAUAUUCAUGGACUGCUGCUCCUGUUUAGAAUUUUGAAGUAUGUCUGAUAAGUAGUCUUAGAGAGGCUCAGAGGGUAGGUCUUUUUAUAAAGAGAGGAUCUUAGAGUAAUCAGAUUCUUUUGUACAUUGGUAUCCAGGUCUUGCAAGCAUAAGUGAU
rnacentral:lncRNA from 1 species